rnacentral:rRNA from 1 species
UACGUAGGGGGCAAGCGUUGUCCGGAUUUACUGGGUGUAAAGGGCGCGUAGGCGGGUUGGCAAGUCAGAGGUGAAAUCCUACAGCUUAACUGUAGAACUGCCUUUGAUACUGCUGAUCUUGAGUACGGAAGAGAGAGACGGAAUUCCAGGUGUAGUGGUGAAAUACGUAGAUAUCUGGAAGAACACCAGUUGCGAAGGCGGUCUCUUGGUCCGUAACUGACGCUCAGGCGCGAAAGCGUGGGGAGCAAACAGG